UGUGGGAGGCUAAAGGAAAAAAGAAAUCAGUAGCUUUUAAAGCUAGGCCUCGCUGCGACUCCGCAGAUAAUGAAAGCCGUCUGUGUUGUGGGCUAGAGAGCAUUUCAAAGGCAGGCCUGACUCAGGGUUACGCUGCUAAAAAACCUGCGUGUGUUUGUUUUGUGCGGAGAGCGGAUCCAGUCUUCAACGGCGUACGGACGCGAAGGAGGACGCCCGCUUUCUGCUGGAAACCGUUAUUAAACGCGUGGGAAUCUAAGAGGACUUGAGCCGGCUUCCCUUCGCGGGAGACGUUCGAGUGGAAAGCCGCUACUUUUCUUUUUUUUUUUUCCCGUGCCGCUUCUUGGUGGAAUAUUGCCGGAAGACGGCUGCGGAGGGACUGAGGCGGGUGAGAGCAGCCGCGCGGCGAGCACUCGGAAGCGGGCACGCCUGGCGAGUGGACGCUGACGGAUCGCGAGAGCGGCCGCCGGCGAGGAGCGCGGCCGGGGAAGAGCGCCUGCUCGCCGGGGCGCGCCUGCGAGGAUCCUCCCGGGGAGGCAGACGGAGCUCUGGAUGUGUCGGUCGGUCAAACUGAGCUGGAAACGAGGACUGUGAGCGACACCGCAUCGUUUAAGUUUCUUGCCUGUAAAUCUCUGCUCUGCUUGGGGAGAUAAAACGGCCCAAAUGAAAUGAAGACGCACUUCAAGUAUUUUUUUCUACUCAAGCAUGGCGGUGAUAAUUGGAUUGUGUGGACACCUGUAUGAGUGCAGUAUAUCCAGGGGAUUAGAGAACGGGAUGGCUUUUGCAGGUUCUGUCCAAACCUGCGGGCUGAAUUCUCCCGAGUCGUCGUCUCUCGCAAGAGGACCAGAUCUGGGGGGGGGACGCCGGUGUCAACUUUGACCUCUGAGUAAAUUCACGCGAUUGCUGGAUCCACGCAAAAAUGAUACGGCGACCCUUUCAACCAAACGAAACUCCAAUCUGUUAUGGUAAAAAAAAAUAUUUGAAUGCAAGAUAACUGAUUGUCUUUUAAAGUAAUUCAUCACUUUGAUUCUUUGUUUGAUACAUCAUGUGAGAAUAGUUUUGAAAUGUUUGUAGAUUUAUAUAGUUAUAUAUAUUUAUAUAUUUUACACAACAAAGUUGAAGACACAGAAGCUUUAUACUAUAUAUAUAUAUAUAUAUAUAUAUAUAUAUAUAUAUAUAUAUAUAUAUAUAUAUAUAUAUAUAUAUAUAUAUAUAUGCUGCACUUUUAAGCCAGUUUAGCCAGCAAGUCUUUGAUUGGCUCACGUGUCUGUGAAGCUUUUAUUGUAAAACAAUGUGAUAAAAGAUGCUUUGUCAUGCAAUGCUCAUAUGAAAAAGGAAAUUGCUCUGUGCAGGUCAGUGACUUAUGUUUAAUAAUAUUAAAAUAAUAAAAUUCAAUGUCAGUUUAUUGUUUGUCUGUUUCACCUGUCACAAUUUUGGGAUGUUUUUUCUGUAACUGCCUUAAUAUUUGUGAAUAUUAUAUAUGGAAUUAAUGAUGGUGUAUAAUGAGAGUAAAACUUUUUUAAUAAUCUA